GGCAGACGAUGGCUUUUUCUCAUGAUGGUCUGCGGAUGCUGCUGUGGGCGGUGGCAAAAACACCCAUAGCUCAGCUGAUGCCAGGAA
ensembl:snoRNA